rnacentral:rRNA from 1 species
AGUGAACGCUGGCGGCAGGCCUAAUACAUGCAAGUCGAACGGCAGCACAGUGGAGCUUGCUCCAUGGGUGGCGAGUGGCGGACGGGUGAGGAAUACAUGGGAAUCUGCCCAGUCGUGGGGGAUAACGUAGGGAAACUUACGCUAAUACCGCAUGCGCCCUUCGGGGGAAAGCCGGGGACCUUCGGGCCUGGCGCGAUUGGAUGAGCCCAUGUUCGAUUAGCUAGUUGGCGGGGUAAAGGCCCACCAAGGCGACGAUCGAUAGCUGGUCUGAGAGGAUGAUCGGCCACACUGGAACUGGAAAACGGCCCGAACUCCUACGGAGGGUGGAGGUGGGGAUAUUUGACAAAGGGGGGAAGGCCGGUCCAGGCAAGGCGGCGUGAGUGAAGAGGGCCCUGGGUUUGUAAGGCUCUUUUGCCGGGAAAGAAAGCCUUCGGCCUAAUCCCUCGGUGUUCGGACGGUACGGGAGGAAUAGGAACCGGCUACUUCGUG